GCUAGCCUUUUGUUUUAAUGUUGAGCUGAGUUGACUAUGUGCUGUUACUGUCCUUGUCCUCGUUUGUGACAAUAAAGGUUAUCCUGGAUCAGAACAAGGCGGAGAAUGAUACAAAAUGUGUACUUGAUGACAGUUUUAAUACGUUAAGCAACUGAAGUGAAAGGGGCAGAAAUAAUGACCUGGCUAGAAGUUAAUGGCUGAGCCCACCCAAUUAUUUGCUGGGAGACAAUGCCUGUUCAGUCACCACAGACACCAGGCAAAACAAACUUCCUGCCAGGCCAGCUGCUAGAAAGGCAUCACAUUCUACCUCAGGCUGUUCACCUAAACCAUUGUAAAUAAGGCAGGACAAACUAUACUUUUUUUUUGGAUACCACUGUUUUGAACUAUAAGUUGUGUUACAUUCCCACUAGCAAUCUGCUUUGACUAAAUCAUGAUUAAAGAUCUGUUGAGUUUGCUUUGCAUUGGCAUUUCACCAGAGCUCCCUAUUGUAGGAUCAAGGCUCAAAGCAAAGAGGGGGAAAAACAGCUAGCUUGCAUUGCAAGCUCUUUGCCUCACUUCCCCACUGCAUGACUCCCUUCCCCCGCCACCUCAUGUUCUCCACAAGUCCAGAUGUAUUUUGCAGAAAAGUAUGUGGCUCUAGUAAGAAUGAAGCAAGAUGAAGACAUCAAAAUGGAUUAUUCGGUUCUUCCCUUUAUCUAGCCACAUUCCCAUUAUCUCCCUUGCUGGGGUGGGGGGUGGGGUUGUGAAGGAGGAUAGUGGAAAGGAAGAAUGACAUUUAACCUUCAUUCUUUUUGAGUGGGAGUACCUAUUUCAACCCAUUUGAAAGCCUUAAGAGGAUAAGUGUUUUCUUUUCCAUUAGUAAGAACAGAAAUCAAAAUAUUCUUUCAAGUUUAAAGGGAAAGAGCCUUAAGAGAAUAAGUGUUUUCCACUAGUAAGAACAGAACUCAAAAUAUCCUUUCAAGUUUAAAGGUUUCAAAAGUCACAUUGAAUUGAAUCCAGUCCCAUAUGGAAAACCCUCCCAUGUAGGUCACUUGUACAUAACUGAUUCCUUCCCCAAGAGCCCUUCGAUGAGAGGCUGAGGGCCCACACUUGCAGUGUGGGAUGUAGCACUUGGUACCCAGCAGUCCUGGUGUGUCCCAGGAGGGAGCUGGGCACGAAAGCCAUCAGGGCGGUAUUCACUCUACAGAGCCCACAGCCUGACACUGUCCCUUAGGCAGGAACACCUUUCAAGGGAAUGGCCUCUUCCAGAAUGCCCCAUGGUGGUGACUGCUGGACCCAUGCUGAGUGCAACUACAAGAAAAAUCAGUUCCUGGGAAACGCCUUGAACACAUCCCUUCUUAAAAACUCAACCCUCCCAAGACUGAAACCUGCCACAACUGUCUUGGCCACAGCUGUCUCCAACCACCCUCCAAAUGUGGGUUUGGUUCACUUUUGGUUUAGAUAGCUUUACCAAAGAACUUUUUCUUGAAAAGAUGAUUAGAGAGGAGGAGGGAAAGUAAGAAGUUAUAGUAUAUUAUAAGGCUGUGAAAAAUCUAUCGUGCAAACAAACCCUUUCCACAUAGCACUAGAUAAAGAUUAAAGACAAUUGUAGUAGUAUAAAAAUAAUUGUAUAUGUGUAU